UGGCAAGUUCCCCUGCAGUUUGGGCUGUCUCUGUGGCUGGUUCUGCGGCGUGCGGCCAGCCAUGGAGCGCUCUGGGCCCAGCGAAGUGACAGGCUCAGACGCAUCGGGACCGGACCCGCAGCUUGCGGUCACCAUGGGCUUCACGGGGUUCGGUAAAAAAGCUCGCACAUUUGACUUGGAAGCAAUGUUUGAACAAACUCGAAGAACAGCUGUGGAAAGAAGUUGCAAAACACUGGGCCACCAGGAACACACCUGUAGCCCAGCAAAGUUGAGGCCAUCAACUGGCUCAUCACAACAAGGAAGGCUGUGCACCACUGGG
rnacentral:lncRNA from 1 species